ensembl:ncRNA F44C4.12 ncRNA
GACCGAGUAGCAAUUGACAGCUAGAGAUUGACAAUUUAUGAAGAGACGCAGACAGAUGUGAACAUAGAAACGACAAAAGACAUACAUGUUUCGAAUUAGAUGGACAAGAUCGGUUGCCUCUAUAUAAAGUAGCUCAACGUAUUUU